AUACGUAGGGUGCGAGCGUUGUCCGGAAUUACUGGGCGUAAAGAGCUCGUAGGUGGUUUGUCGCGUCGUCUGUGAAAUUCCGGGGCUUAACUCCGGGCGUGCAGGCGAUACGGGCAUAACUUGAGUACUGUAGGGGAGACUGGAAUUCCUGGUGUAGCGGUGAAAUGCGCAGAUAUCAGGAGGAACACCGGGGGCGAAGGCGGGUGGCUGGGCAGUAACUGACGCGGAGGAGCGAAAGCAUGGGUAGCGAACAGGAUUAGAUACCCUGGUAGUCCACGCCGUAAACGGUGGGCGCUAGGUGUAGGGGUCUUCCACGACUUCUGUGCCGUAGCUAACGCAUUAAGCGCCCCGCCUGGGGAGUACGGCCGCAAGGCUAAAACUCAAAUGAAUUGACGGGG
rnacentral:rRNA from 1 species